ACUGGUGUUCGGGUUGUCAUGCCAAUGGCACUGCCCGGUAGCUAAAUGCGGAAGAGAUAAGUGCUGAAAGCAUCUAAGCACGAAACUUGCCCCGAGAUGAGUUCUCCCUGAGACUAUAAGUCUCCUGAAGGAACGUUGAAGACGACGACGUUGAUAGGUCGGGUGUGUAAGCGCAGCGAUGCGUUGAGCUAACCGAUACUAAUGAACCGUGAGGCUUAACCUUACAACGCCGAAGGUGUUU
rnacentral:rRNA from 1 species